rnacentral:rRNA from 1 species
CAGUCGCCGCGGGAAUACGGAGGGAGCUAGCGUUGUUCGGAAUUACUGGGCGUAAAGCGCACGUAGGCGGCUUUGUAAGUUAGAGGUGAAAGCCUGGAGCUCAACUCCAGAAUUGCCUUUAAGACUGCCGAGCUAGCAGGUGAGAGAGGUAAGUGGAAUUCCGAGUGUAGAGGUGAAAUUCGUAGAUAUUCGGAAGAACACCAGUGGCGAAGGCGGCUUACUGGCUCAUACUGGACGCUGAGGUGCGAAAGCGUGGGGAGCAAACAGGAUUAGAGACCCCGGUAGUCCCUGUCUCUUAUAC